rnacentral:lncRNA from 1 species
UUAAGGCAGGUGGGAAAGGCUUUUUCAGAGCUGGUGGAGGCCUCUCUCCCGGAUUUUUUCUUCUUCUUAUUGUUUUUGGGUGUUUCUUUUUCAAGGGUAGGUCUGGGUAGGCUAGUGGUGAUCAAUGUGCAACAUUUACUGGGGUUCCACCGUUUUUACGCCUUUCUGGACGGAUCCUUCCCUCUGUUCCCUGCACUGUUGACCGUCCCUGCUGGAGCCGGAGGUCCAAAAGAGAACGGCCCUUUUCCUGCAUCUUCAAAUUUACCAUCGAAACUUUGGCAAUUCAGCACAUCGGACAAACCGUCUUUAUGGGAUGCUCCUGGGUCAGGCCUGUUCUACCCCCAGCAGGUGAAGGCUCAGAUCCAUCAGGAUAAUUGGGUGCCUGACUUCUAUAUUGAAUCCAAUAAAUUUGGGACCUACAAGCAUCAGUGGACAUCAGGAAUUUUCACUUUUCAAAAGGGGACUUUGACUGCUUUUGGAAGACCAAAGCUGGACAUUUGCUCACUUUCCAUGCGUGCUUACACCCCUAACUCCUGCCUGAUACCAAUUUCUGCAGGAAGACAGUGCUAG